rnacentral:rRNA from 1 species
UGGCGAACGGGUGAGUAACGCGUGAGGAACCUGCCUCAAAGAGGGGGACAACAGUUGGAAACGACUGCUAAUACCGCAUAAGCCCACGGGUCGGCAUCGAUCUGAGGGAAAAGGAGUGAUCCGCUUUGGGAUGGCCUCGCGUCCGAUUAGCUAGUUGGUGAGGUAACGGCCCACCAAGGCGACGAUCGGUAGCCGGACUGAGAGGUUGAACGGCCACAUUGGGACUGAGACACGGCCCAG